rnacentral:rRNA from 1 species
ACGGAAGGCAGCAGUGAGGAAUAUUGGUCAAUGGACGAGAGUCUGAACCAGCCAAGUAGCGUGCAGGAUGACGGCCCUAUGGGUUGUAAACUGCUUUUGUACGGGAAUAAAGUGACCUACGUGUAGGUUUUUGCAUGUACCGUAAGAAUAAGGAUCGGCUAACUCCGUGCCAGCAGCCGCGGUAAUACGGAGGAUCCGAGCGUUAUCCGGAUUUAUUGGGUUUAAAGGGUGCGCAGGCGGCCCGUUAAGUCAGCGGUGAAAUGUCGGGGCUCAACCCGGGCACUGCCGUUGAAACUGGGGGGCUUGAGUACGGAUGAGGUCGGCGGAAUGUGACGUGUAGCGGUGAAAUGCAUAGAUAUGUCACAGAACACCGAUUGCGAAGGCAGCCGGCCAAUCCGCAACUGACGCUCAUGCACGAAAGCGUGGGGAUCGAACAGGAUUAGAUACCCUGGUA